rnacentral:rRNA from 1 species
GAUGAACGCUAGCUACAGGCUUAACACAUGCAAGUCGAGGGACCGGCGCACGGGUGAGUAACACGUAUCCAACCUGCCCUUUACUCGGUGAUAGCCUUUAGAAAGAAAGAUUACUACACGAUAUUAAGGUUGGGGAUGCUUUCCAUUAGGUUGUUGGUAAGGUAACGGCCCACCAAGCCUUCGAUCGAGAUGGGUUCUGAGAGGAAGGUCCCCCAUAUUGGAACGGAGACACGGUCCAAAAUCGUACGGGAGGCAGAAGUGAGGAAUAUUGGUCAAUGGGCGGUAGCGUGAACCAGCCAAGUAGCGUGAAGGAUGAAGGCUUAUGGGUCGAAAACUUGUAUUAUAUAAGAAUAGGUAAUAAAAGAAUAAGGAUCGGCUAACUCCGUGCCAGCAGCCGCGGUAAUAG